rnacentral:rRNA from 1 species
CUACGGGAGGCUGCAGUGGGGAAUAUUGGACAAUGGGGGCAACCCUGAUCCAGCCAUGCCGCGUGUGUGAAGAAGGCCUUUUGGUUGUAAAGCACUUUAAGCAGUGAAGAAGACCUAACGGUUAAUACCCGUUAGCGAUGACAUUAGCUGCAGAAUAAGCACCGGCUAACUCUGUGCCAGCAGCCGGGUAAUACAGAGGGUGCAAGCGUUAAUCGGAAUUACUGGGCGUAAAGCGAGCGUAGGUGGCUUGAUAAGUCAGAUGUGAAAUCCCCGGGCUUAACCUGGGAACUGCAUCUGAUACUGUUAAGCUAGAGUAGGUGAGAGGGAAGUAGAAUUCCAGGUGUAGCGGUGAAAUGCGUAGAGAUCUGGAGGAAUACCGAUGGCGAAGGCAGCUUCCUGGCAUCAUACUGACACUGAGGCUCGAAAGCGUGGGUAGCAAACAGGAUUAGAUACCCCAGUAGUC